UGUUUCCUCUCUCCUCCUCUCAGCUCUAGACCCCUUCCACCCCUAUCUGUUUCCUCUCUCUCUCCUCCUCUCAGCUCUAGACCCCUUCCACCCCUAUCUGUUUCCUCUCUCCUCCUCUCAGCUCUAGACCCCUUCCACCCCGGGGUCUAUGUGGCUGGCUGGGGGAGCAUGCCUCCUUCUAGUUUGUCCCCUCACCAGGCGACCCUCUGCCCAGGCCUCCCUCUCUGCCCCUCCACAGGCCUGCCUGCCUACCUCCCCCCAGGCGACCCUCCAACCCCCCAGGCAACAUGGGACAGGCCUGCUUUAGUCCCCUGCCAGAUGCCUAUUGUGUGGCUGAGACACUGGGCCUGGUCUGCUGGCCUGUUUUGACUGGCUGGCUUGCUGGCAGAUGGCUAACGUUACUGGAAGAAGACUCAAGUGGGCUGGCUGCAAGACACACACAGGCCAACCCAUCCUCCAACCCAGGCUACCCCAGCCAGGCCCCUGACAGAGAGGGCACACUGGGUCUGUCGUGGGGGACUUGAGGACUCGGGGGGGGGGGCACUGCUUUGUUGAGGCUUCUUUGUCGUUGUCCUUUUGGGAGGGGUUUAAUAUCCUCGCUUGUGUUACCUUCUGUGUUAAUAUUAUCAUUGUUAUUUCUUUAAAAUCAGGUUUAAAUAUGUAUGAUUAUGGAAUAUUUUAGGGCUGAUCUGUUGCACAGGUUUGAUUUGUUUUAAAUGGUUUUAAGGCGGUUAUUUGCUUUAAAAAUAUUCAAAAAUAACAAAUACAUUUUGACAGUGGUAUUGUGUACUAGCAUUAAAGGAUCCUCUAGCAUUAAAGGUUUGAGGUGUUGGUUGACUAGACUGAGGGAAGGUUUGAGGUGUUGGUUGACUAGACUGAGGGAAGGUUUGAGGUGUUGGUUGACUAGACUGAGGGAAGGUUUGAGGUGUUGGUUGACUAGACUAAGAGGGAAGGUUUGAGGUGUUGGUUGACUAGACUGAGGGAAGGUUUGAGGUGUUGGUUGACUAGACUAAGAGGGAAGGUUUGAGGUGUUGGUUGACUAGACUAAGAGGGAAGGUUUGAGGUGUUGGUUGACUAGACUAAGAGGGAAGGUUUGAGGAGUUGGUUGACUAGACUGAGGGAAGGUUUGAGGUGUUGGUUGACUAGACUGAGGGAAGGUUUGAGGUGUUGGUUGACUAGACUAAGAGGGAAUGUUUGAGGAGUUGGUUGACUAGACUGAGGGAAGGUUUGAGGUGUUGGUUGACUAGACUGAGGGAAGGUUUGAGGAGUUGGUUGACUAGACUGAGUGAAGGUUUGAGGUGUUGGUUGACUAGACUGAGGGAAGGUUUGAGGUGUUGGUUGACUAGACUGAGGGAAGGUUUGAGGUGUUGGUUGACUAGACUAAGAGGGAAGGUUUGAGGAGUUGUUUGACUAGACCAAGAGGGAAAGUUUGAGGAGUUGGUUGACUAGACUAAGAGGGAAGAUUUGAGGUGUUGGUGACUUGACGAAGAGGGAAGAUUUGAGGUGUUGGUGACUUGACGAAGAGGGAAGGUUUGAGGAGUUGGUUUACCUGACGAAGAGGGAAGGUUUGAGGUGUUGGUUGACUAGACUGAGGGAAGGUUUGAGGUGUUGGUUGACUAGACUGAGGGAAGGUUUGAGGUGUUGGUUGACUAGACUGAGGGAAGGUUUGAGGUGUUGGUUGACUAGACUAAGAGGGAAGGUUUGAGGUGUUGGUUGACUAGACUAAGAGGGAAGGUUUGAGGAGUUGUUUGACUAGACCAAGAGGGAAGGUUUGAGGAGUUGGUUGACUAGACUAAGAGGGAAGAUUUGAGGUGUUGGUGACUUGACGAAGAGGGAGGGUUUGAGGAGUUGGUUGACCUGACGAAGAGGGAAGGUUUGGCUAGAAGGAAGAAUCAUAGAUGUGGUCGGUUUGAAGUCAGUCAGAAGAGUGGCCUUGUCAUCUAUAAUAAUACAUUUAUGGAGUUGCGUCCUGUUUUAAAAAUUAAGGCUGGGAGGUAGAGUGUGCUUGUUGAGACGGAGUGGCCGAAUUUGAGUUUAUUAUUUCUUGCAAAAUGAAAUGUAGCUCCUUUUAAGAGGAGGAAGAAACAAGCAUGAUAAAAUCCUUCUUCAAAUAGUCUCCUGUUCAAGCAGCCAUUUUGCAAGUCUUAUCAGUAUAAUGAUGACAUCUUUUAAUCUGUGUUAUUUUACAGAUUAUUUUUAUGAUAUAAUGUAGGUUGCUAGUAUGUGAUUCGCAUUAUUCUGGCUUCUGCAAAUGUGUUUACCACGAUAUUGACGUUUACCAACCCACUCAUCAUUCUAUCGUUUGAUGGGCUGUAUGUAAUCCACUGUAGAGUAAUGGCCCGUAUUUAAGAAAACAGAACGAGUGCUCAGCGGGAAUGGUACAUACAGAGACUAUGGCUACAUCCUAUUUAGCUUUAGGGUUGAAUAGGGUUGUGUGGAUAGGAAGGUGGUCUUUCUAUGUCUUCUUACUAUGGCUUCAGGUCAUGUUGAAUGAACUGCUCUGUCUGGGACAGUCUGUCAGUCCUACGACUACUAGUGUUACUUGCUUCUGAUUUCCCAUUGAAUUGAAUCUCUUUGGGAAGUUUUGUGUUAUUUUGUUUUUCCUGUCUUGCAUCAAGAAUCCAAAUCUUUUUAAGGUAGUCACACACCCAAGUCACUAGGAGGGUCUUGAAUUGAAACAUAUAUAUAUAUAAUGAGUUGGGAGAUCUAUACAAACCCAUCCGUCUAAGUGUGCGCAUGCCUAUGAGCUGAUUUUAUUUAUUUUAUUUGAGGUUUUUAUUUAAAAUGUUCAUUUGAGUUUUUAUUUUAUCAAUGGGUUUAGAUUUUAAGUGACUGAAUCCAUUGUGAUUACCGAUGAUCUCUUUCCUGUUAAGUGUGGUAUUACUGUGAUAUUUUUAGAUUGAAAGCUAUGCUGUAGUGCUAUUGGCCGAUUUUGGUUCCAUAUGCAAUGUAGUGACUCAUUGAAACACAAUGGAGUCCUUCCUCAUCUGUGACACUGGGCCUCCCAGCGCCCUUCGACACUUGACCUUUAGGUCACGUGACGUACCCGACUAUUGAAUGCAACGCACCUCCAUUUGCAUGUCAUUGACAUUGGAAGGAGGGAGACAGAAUGAGAUGGGAGGUGUUGGCAUGGUUACUCAAGCGAGGCAAGCUAGUCUCCCAGCCAGAGGGUGAUGAUGAGCUGUAGAAUUUGUGGUUGGUCGUCAAUUCGUUUUUUGUUUUUUUUUAUUAAGCAAUUGAAAAAAUAAACUAACUGAAAAGAGAAGUGGGAAAAAA